rnacentral:lncRNA from 1 species
AUGGCGUGGAAGGCGUUCUCCAACGCCAGCAGGCUGGAGGAGCAGGCGGUGUCUAUGGCUGUGCUGGGACCUGAGGACCAAGAGAGGAGCAUCACUACAGAGCAACAGCUGCUGAUGUGGGAGAACGCCGCGGCGUCUUCUCAGAAAACAACCGAGGCUUGUUUCCCGCGUAGAGUCCUAACCUCUGCAGGAACGAAGCUCUGCGACUCCAUGAAGGCCUCAGCCAAUCAGCUUUCAGUGAUUCAGGUGGUCUGGCAGAGAUGCCCUUCCAGACAACCCUGAGUUUUAUCCGGGCCAGGGGGGACCCGGACAAGGGCCCCCUCAUGACUACAUGGUUAGCCAGUGGGAAUCAAACCCUGGUUACCUAUGCGUCAGUCCUACACUUAACUGACAAUUCAAAGGGUGUAACAGACUGUUGUUGCUUUAAUAUUUUUUUUUUAAGGGAUAAAAGCACUUUCGAAACAUUUCAGUAUUCUGAUGCUGACUACCACAAAAAACAGACUAACUGAAAUCCCAAAACUGUGUCUUUGGUCACAGACUCCAGAUAAUGAACUCGUUGAGCAGGCAGGAAAAAAAAUUGACCAGUAAUUCAGAUUUGAAGUAUCGGCAUGCCUUCCAAGGUCUUCUGUUUGGUCAGACAUUUUUGGCUAUGAAACUGCACUGAAUCUUCUAAAACCCUCAGAAAAUCUCCUCAAUGAACGACGUUACAGCCUCCAGAUUUUCUAAACUUUCCCUGAAAUCAGCAGCUGUUCGGACAGACAUUUGCAAUCAGACUAAAAUCCUUCAGAAGAGAAACCAGACACUAACAGAGGUGAAGGUUGUCCAGGGAAUUAAGAAAUGGAGCAAUGAAUAGACUCUGGCAGACUUUUUAUGGGUUUUUUCUAAAAUCAUUUUGGGAAAAUAAAUUAACAACAAACUUUAACCCAUUUGAAACAUUUACAACCAAACUGUUGUCCACAAGUCAAAUGACUGGAGAAAACCUCCAUUCUUUUCACUCAAUUAAAAAUGUGAAGAAGUAGUGAUUUAAAGGUUGGAUUUUUUUAACAUCAUUUGAGGCUUUUUGCAAACGCACCAGUAAAGAAAACCUUCGCUUUCACAUUUCUAGUUUCUUUUCUUCAACCCUGAAGAUCCACUUUUUCAUUUUAAUGCAAUUACGAAAUCAACGUCUGGGAACAAGGAAAGGGCUACGACCAGUCAGAAUGCUCAAUAAAUGUAUCUUUAUCUUUAUAACGGUAUCAAGCUGUGCAAAAGACAGUGAAAAUUAGAGCUGUGACGGUGUAGGAUUUUUGAUCCCGGUUGACAGCGGUGAUGCAGAUAUCGUCACACCCCUAGCGACAAUUGCUAUGAUUGGUUACCGUAUUUUCCGGACUAUAAGUCGCUCCGGAGUAUAAGUCGCACCAGCCCAAAAAUGCAUUAUAAAGUAGAAAAAACCACAGAUAAGUCGCACUGGACUAUAAGUCGCAUUUUGACGGGGAUUUUGACAAAAUCUGAGACCAAGAACUAAUAAGUUCCACAUCCUCAUAUGACAC